AAGUCGUAACAAGGUUUCCGUAGGUGAACCUGCGGAAGGAUCAUUAUCGUUGGGCUUCGGCCCAUUCGAGAUAACACCCUUGCCUUUUUGAGUACCUUUUCGUUUCCUCGGCAGGCUCGCCUGCCAACGGGGACCCUUCAAAACGCUUUGUAGUACCUGUAACUGUCUGAUACAACAAGCAAAAAUCAAAACUUUCAACAACGGAUCUCUUGGUUCUG
rnacentral:misc_RNA from 1 species